rnacentral:rRNA from 1 species
GAUGAACGCUGGCGGCGUGCCUAAUACAUGCAAGUCGAGCGAACAGACGAGGAGCUUGCUCCUCUGACGUUAGCGGCGGACGGGUGAGUAACACGUGGAUAACCUACCUAUAAGACUGGGAUAACUUCGGGAAACCGGAGCUAAUACCGGAUAAUAUAUUGAACCGCAUGGUUCAAUAGUGAAAGACGGUUUUGCUGUCACUUAUAGAUGGAUCCGCGCCGCAUUAGCUAGUUGGUAAGGUAACGGCUUACCAAGGCGACGAUGCGUAGCCGACCUGAGAGGGUGAUCGGCCACACUGGAACUGAGACACGGUCCAGACGCCUACGGGAGGCAGCAGUAGGGAAUCUUCCGCAAAGGGCGAAAGCCUGACGGAGCAACGCCGCGUGAGUGAUGAAGGUCUUCGGAUCGUAAAACUCUGUUAUUAGGGAAGAACAAAUGUGUAAGUAACUAUGCACGUCUUGACGGUACCUAAUCAGAAAGCCACGGCUAACUACGUG